rnacentral:lncRNA from 1 species
UGUGAGGAUUUCCAAGUCAUUCUCAGGAUGGAGAAAUGGUUAAGGCCUUAGUCGUGUGGCAGACGAUGGGGCAAUGAUUAUGAAGAAUCAGUUUGCGGUUCGUGGUUGGGGUUGCCGCGGAGUUGGGUAUUGCGAAUGCCCGAGGAACCUGAGUUGUGUAGAGGUGCUAUGACUCAGUGUGGGGGAGUACAUAAGGUGGAGAUGUAUUCCCAAAUGUGAAUCCUCGACGAUGGUGCUUCUCGAAAGGAUAUGGAUUGGGCGGUGAAACACUGGGCGAAAGAGUUUACUUCGUGAAAGCUGUGUUUGAAGUCUGACCGGCAGUAGUCUUCGUUGGGAGCAGCUUCGACCAAAGUUGUGGGAAUACCAAAGGGCUACUCGAUGGACCAGUACUUCUCUCUUGGUAAAGGAAGGUCGAUAGGGAGAUCGAUGACUCUUUGGAGUGUGCCCAUGAUAUAGAAAGAGAAGGCAUCCUUGUGCGAGAGUAAGGAUUGAGGUUGGAACCUUAACUCGCAGAGUGAGGUGAUAAGGCUAGCUUCGAGCAGAACGGUGACAUCGUUGGUGGCUCGAGGUAGCAUACAUGUAUCCAUUGGAUGGAUGACAUGGGUUCCGCUUGAGGGAAUAGUGAAGGCUGUGGCAGAGCCGGAGCUAGCAGAGCGGAAUGUGGG